rnacentral:lncRNA from 1 species
CUCCACCAUCUUCCCCUUCCCCACCCGCGAUUGUCCCUUCACCACCAGUGGCUAAACCACCCAAGAAUUCACCUCCACCGCCAGUUCAACAGUCCCCUCCUCCUUCUGCACCCCAAAACCCACCUUCUGGUGAAUCAGCACCACCACCUAAAGCCCCACCACCUUCCACUCCUUCUACCCCUUCUCCUCCUCCUGGCAAAACUCCAUCUACCCCGGCUUCACC